GAUGAACGCUGGCGGCGUGCCUAAUACAUGCAAGUCGAGCGAACAGAUGAGGAGCUUGCUCCUCUGACGUUAGCGGCGGACGGGUGAGUAACACGUGGAUAACCUACCUAUAAGACUGGGAUAACUUCGGGAAACCGGAGCUAAUACCGGAUAAUAUAUUGAACCGCAUGGUUCAAUAGUGAAAGACGGUUUUGCUGUCACUUAUAGAUGGAUCCGCGCCGCAUUAGCUAGUUGGUAAGGUAACGGCUUACCAAGGCAACGAUGCGUAGCCGACCUGAGAGGGUGAUCGGCCACACUGGAACUGAGACACGGUCCAGACUCCUACGGGAGGCAGCAGUAGGGAAUAUUCCGCAAUGGGCGAAAGCCUGACGGAGCAACGCCGCGUGAGUGAUGAAGGUCUUCGGAUCGUAAAGCUCUGUUAUUAGGGAAGAACAAAUGUGUAAGUAACUAUGCACGUCUUGACGGUACCUAAUCAGAAAGCCACGGCUAACUUCGUG
rnacentral:rRNA from 1 species